AUUGAACGCUGGCGGCAGGCCUAACACAUGCAAGUCGAACGAGUGGCGGACGGGUGAGUAAGGUAUGGGAAACUGCCCGAUGGAGGGGGAUAACUACUGGAAACGGUAGCUAAUACCGCAUACCAUCGGAUGUGCCCAGAUGGGAGUAGCUUGUAGGUGAGGUAAAGGCUCACCUAGGCGACGAUCACUAGCUGGUCUGGGAGGAUGACCAGCCACAAGGGAACGGAGACACGGUCCAGACUCCGACGGGAGGCAGAAGUGGGGAAUAUGGCACAAUGGGCGCAAGACUGAUGUAGCAAUGCCGCGUGUAUGAAGAAGGUCUUCGGGUUGUAAAGUACUUUCAGCGGGGAGGCGUUACCCGCAGAAGAAGCACCGGCUAACUCCGUGCCAGCAGCCGCGGUAAUAC
rnacentral:rRNA from 1 species